rnacentral:rRNA from 1 species
GUCUACGGCCAUGCCACCCUGAACAAGCCUGAUCCCGUCUGAUCUCAGAAGCUAAGCAGGGUUGGGCCUGGUUAGUACUUGGAUGGGAGACCACCUAGGAAGACCAGGUGCUGCAGGCA